CAAGAUAAGCCCAUGCAUGUCUAAGUAUAAGCAACUAUACGGUGAAACUGCGAAUGGCUCAUUAAAUCAGUUAUCGUUUAUUUGAUAGUACCUUACUACAUGGAUAACCGUGGUAAUUCUAGAGCUAAUACAUGCUAAAAACCUCGACUUCGGAAGGGGUGUAUUUAUUAGAUAAAAAACCAAUGCCCUUCGGGGCUCCUUGGUGAAUCAUAAUAACUUAACGAAUCGCAUGGCCUUGCGCCGGCGAUGGUUCAUUCAAAUUUCUGCCCUAUCAACUUUCGAUGGUAGGAUAGUGGCCUACCAUGGUAUCAACGGGUAACGGGGAAUUAGGGUUCGACUCCGGAGAGGGAGCCUGAGAAACGGCUACCACAUCCAAGGAAGGCAGCAGGCGCGCAAAUUACCCAAUCCCGACACGGGGAGGUAGUGACAAUAAAUACUGAUACAGGGCUCUUUUGGGUCUUGUAAUUGGAAUGAGUACAAUUUAAAUCCCUUAACGAGGAACAAUUGGAGGGCAAGUCUGGUGCCAGCAGCCGCGGUAAUUCCAGCUCCAAUAGCGUAUAUUAAAGUUGUUGCAGUUAAAAAGCUCGUAGUUGAACCUUGGGCCUGGCUGGCCGGUCCGCCUCACCGCGUGUACUGGUCCGGCCGGGCCUUUCCUUCUGGGGAACCUCAUGCCCUUCACUGGGCGUGUUGGGGAACCAGGACUUUUACUUUGAAAAAAUUAGAGUGUUCAAAGCAGGCCUUUGCUCGAAUACAUUAGCAUGGAAUAAUAGAAUAGGACGUGUGGUUCUAUUUUGUUGGUUUCUAGGACCGCCGUAAUGAUUAAUAGGGAUAGUCGGGGGCAUCAGUAUUCAAUCGUCAGAGGUGAAAUUCUUGGAUUGAUUGAAGACUAACUACUGCGAAAGCAUUUGCCAAGGAUGUUUUCAUUAAUCAGUGAACGAAAGUUAGGGGAUCGAAGACGAUCAGAUACCGUCGUAGUCUUAACCAUAAACUAUGCCGACUAGGGAUCGGACGGUGUUAGUAUUUUGACCCGUUCGGCACCUUACGAGAAAUCAAAGUUUUUGGGUUCUGGGGGGAGUAUGGUCGCAAGCUGAAUAG
rnacentral:rRNA from 1 species